GACGAACGCUGGCGGCGUGCUUAACACAUGCAAGUCGAACGGAAAGGCCCUGCUUUUGUGGGGUGCUCGAGUGGCGAACGGGUGAGUAACACGUGAGUAACCUGCCCUUGACUUUGGGAUAACUUCAGGAAACUGGGGCUAAUACCGGAUAGGAGCUCCUGCUGCAUGGUGGGGGUUGGAAAGUUUCGGCGGUUGGGGAUGGACUCGCGGCUUAUCAGCUUGUUGGUGGGGUAGUGGCUUACCAAGGCUUUGACGGAUAGCCGGCCUGAGAGGGUGACCGGCCACAUUGGGACUGAGGUACGGCCCAGACUCCUACGGGAGGCAGCAGUGGGGAAUAUUGCACAAUGGGCGGAAGCCUGAUGCAGCAACGCCGCGUGCGGGAUGACGGCCUUCGGGUUGUAAACCGCUUUCGCCUGUGACGAAGCGUGAGUGACGGUAAUGGGUAAAGAAGCACCGGCUAACUACGUG
rnacentral:rRNA from 1 species